rnacentral:rRNA from 1 species
CCUACGGGCGGCAGCAGUGGGGAAUAUUGCACAAUGGGCGCAAGCCUGAUGCAGCCAUGCCGCGUGUGUGAAGAAGGCCUUCGGGUUGUAAAGCACUUUCAGCGGGGAGGAAGGCGUUAAGGUUAAUAACCUUGGCGAUUGACGUUACCCGCAGAAGAAGCACCGGCUAACUCCGUGCCAGCAGCCGCGGUAAUACGGAGGGUGCAAGCGUUAAUCGGAAUUACUGGGCGUAAAGCGCACGCAGGCGGUCUGUCAAGUCGGAUGUGAAAUCCCCGGGCUCAACCUGGGAACUGCAUUCGAAACUGGCAGGCUAGAGUCGUGGAGAGGGGGGUAGAAUUCCAGGGGUAGCGGUGAAAUGCGUUGAGAACUGGAGGAAUACCGGGGGCGAAGGGGGCCCCCUGGACAAAGACUGACGCUCAGGUUCGAAAGCGUGGGGAGCAAACAGGAUUAGAUACCCGGGUAGUC